UGGCAUUUAUUAAGUUGGAGCCUUGAACAAUUCAGGCACCUGCCUCCUGUCUUGUGGCCCUGCUACUGGAACAGGAUUGGGUAUGGACGAGGGAUGGAUCAAGGCCCAACUCGUCCCCGCUGUGACCCGGAAGCUGUUCACCUUCAGCCUGCCCGCCCGGGUCACGCAGGACGGUGGGAGUGAACCUGCACAGCCUGGAUCCCUUUCAACAGAAGCGCCGGCCUCUCGGGAGUUGGAGCUCGUUGCUUCUGUCACUUAAGCAGAGAGGAAGACAGCGGGAAGAACAAGCUGGAACAAAACCAGAACCCAACUCGAUUCCACAGCCCGAAUUUCCAGAUUUCACCCUGAAUCUUGUUCUGAAUCCACCCCAAGACAGAGUUCAC
rnacentral:lncRNA from 1 species